GGUGUUUUUCAGCUCUAUGUGUCUCUGUUCUCUCUUAAUGUCCAGGUCUCUGAAUUAAAGAUAUAUACUAGGUACCUCUAUACCUCUAAGCUCACUGGCUGUUUUACAUAGUACCUAGCAGGUUAAAGCUAAUGAGCAGGCGUCCUCUUCUCUUUUGUGUCUAUAUACACUGCUCCAAAAAAUAAAGGGAACACAAAAAUAACAAUAGAUCUGAAUGAAUGAAAUAUUCUUCUGAAAUACUUUGUUCUUUACAUAGUU